GCCUCAGUGGUGUAGAGGUUAUUAUACCUGGUUCAAUUAAUUACUGUCAACGCUGUCAACGCUGUCGAAUGUGAGAGCAGGUGACAUGGGUUCGAUUCCCUUCUGAGGCA